AUAAAUUUAAAAAGUCCUUCACUUUAUCUGUCUUAUUCUUUAAAAUAUUAAAAGUGCUACUAAAAUCUAUUGAGGCACCACUGUCUUUCCGCUGGUGAGAGACACGAUCCAUACCUGUAGGGGGAGCCAGAGCUCGAGGAGGCUGUGGGCAGAAGGAUAGUCAACGCAUCAGCGUCCAGUGUGGCACAGGUGUUUUUAAUGAGCAGUCAUUUGCGGCCCCUAAAGAGAUUAAAAUGUCUCUGUAAAAGAGUCCGCGUGUGGAGCAGUGUGAGUGCAGUCACGUGUGCAAGAUGAGAACCGGUGAAUCCCACCACACAACGUAGGAACUGGACCGGAGAUAGAGACAUUUUUUGCCAGCAAGUUUAAAAGAAGUGUUUUAGUAGUUCAGACUGCUGGCGACUGGUGUCGUUUGUAGGCUACAUGAAUCACAAGCUUUGUUGCUGUUGGAUGGUUUUUCAAAAGACUGGGAAUUUUUCCAGCCAAAUCGUUUACAGUAGCUCCAGGAACAGGUUUGGGCGAAUUUUGCCCGGCCAAUGGAUAUCUGAGAGAACCAGAUGGAAGCGGGUCUCCCCCGGAGGUUAUGGAGCCGGACCAUGGCCAGUCCUGGGCCACAGAGGGUGGCAAAAAGGAGGUGGCCGUGGCAGAGGGUCCAGUGUUCCUUCAAAAACCCUCCUUGGAGCUCAGUUACUAACCAUCUUUGGUCAUUGUUACGUCCGCCACACCCUGUGUUUGGGAGAUGCAUUUAGGAUAGGAAAGCUGGAUUUGGUCCUCUGGUUUCAGUCAUGGGAGAUUGCAGUGUGUCGACACAAGUGGGCAGGUGUGAGCUAUCAGCAGUGACUGCGCGGUCCUCUAGUGUGGUAAGUUGUGGCUUUUGUGGAGUUUCCCUGGUUAGGUAUAUCAGCGUGGUCCAUUUGGGCUCAUUAGUUUGUUUGUUUUUUUAGUUUGUUAUUUUUGUGUGGUGUGCGGUCAGAGCAGUUGUCUCGGGGACACAUCCAGAGCUGUCAGGUGAGUAACCAGCUUGCUGGGGGCCUAACCGAGCUACUGGUUUGAGUGUUUAAAUAGCCCACCGCUAAUCUGCAUGAAGACUAGGGGUCAGUGAGGUAGAUUAGUUUGGGAUAGGCAGUUUAGGUAGAGGGAGACUUCCACAUUAAUUUGGGGGACACUAUCAUUGUCUCUUUUGUGCACUAGUUGACCUGGGCAACACUGUCUAUUGGUUCUGUUGUGUUGUUUUUUUUGUUCUGCUGGUCCUUUAGACCUAGUCUAUUGAGGUAGGGAUAGAGGAUUCAUUGCUCCAUUCUGGGACCUCUUUGACAUCUACAUGCUCCCACUGGCUCAUAUUUUGGAAAACAACUAAAUGUUACCAUAGUACGACACACAAAUUUACAUAACCGGGAAAUAUGGUCCAAUAGCGCUAAGUGCAAUGAACAAAUCAACGAUUGGAUGUGCC